rnacentral:rRNA from 1 species
CAGCAGCCGCGGGAAUACGUAGGGUGCGAGCGUUAAUCGGAAUUACUGGGCGUAAAGCGUGCGCAGGCGGUUCGUUAAGACAGAUGUGAAAUCCCCGGGCUUAACCUGGGAACUGCAUUUGUGACUGGCGAGCUAGAGUAUGGCAGAGGGGGGUAGAAUUCCACGUGUAGCAGUGAAAUGCGUAGAGAUGUGGAGGAAUACCGAUGGCGAAGGCAGCCCCCUGGGCCAAUACUGACGCUCAUGCACGAAAGCGUGGGGAGCAAACAGGAUUAGAUACCCCGGUAGUCCCUGUCUCUUAUAC